UACGGGGGGAGCAAGCGUUGUUCGGAUUUACUGGGCGUAAAGGGCGCGUAGGCGGUCGUGACAAGUCACUUGUGAAAUCUCCGGGCUUAACCCGGAAAGGUCAGCCGAUACUGCGGGGCUAGAGUGCAGAAGGGGCAACUGGAAUUCUCGGUGUAGCGGUGAAAUGCGUAGAUAUCGAGAGGAACACCUGCGGCGAAGGCGGGUUGCUGGGCUGACACGUGACGCUGAGGCGCGAAAGCUAGGGGAGCGAACGGG
rnacentral:rRNA from 1 species